GGGAGCAAACAGGAUUAGAUACCCUGGUAGUCCACGCCGUAAACGAUGUCGACUUGGAGGUUGUGCCCUUGAGGCGUGGCUUCCGGAGCUAACGCGUUAAGUCGACCGCCUGGGGAGUACGGCCGCAAGGUUAAAACUCAAAUGAAUUGACGGGGGCCCGCACAAGCGGUGGAGCAUGUGGUUUAAUUCGAUGCAACGCGAAGAACCUUACCUGGUCUUGACAUCCACGGAAGUUUUCAGAGAUGAGAAUGUGCCUUCGGGAACCGUGAGACAGGUGCUGCAUGGCUGUCGUCAGCUCGUGUUGUGAAAUGUUGGGUUAAGUCCCGCAACGAGCGCAACCCUUAUCCUUUGUUGCCAGCGGUCCGGCCGGGAACUCAAAGGAGACUGCCAGUGAUAAACUGGAGGAAGGUGGGGAUGACGUCAAGUCAUCAUGGCCCUUACGACCAGGGCUACACACGUGCUACAAUGGCGCAUACAAAGAGAAGCGACCUCGCGAGAGCAAGCGGACCUCAUAAAGUGCGUCGUAGUCCGGAUUGGAGUCUGCAACUCGACUCCAUGAAGUCGGAAUCGCUAGUAAUCGUGGAUCAGAAUGCCACGGUGAAUACGUUCCCGGGCCUUGUACACACCGCCCGUCACACCAUGGGAGUGGGUUGCAAAAGAAGUAGGUAGCUUAACCUUCGG
rnacentral:rRNA from 1 species